AGCCCAUGGUAAGGGCACCUUCUCAAUAGGUCCUUGUAUCUCUCUCAUGCAUCAUAAAGUGUUUCUACAUCCAUCUGCACAAAAGAAGAGAUAUCAUUGCUCAACUU
rfam:Gossypium arboreum cultivar AKA8401 contig_105681_1, whole genome shotgun sequence.